UUGGGGGCAUGGGCAGGAAUAAUAAUUUGCCCGCUGGAUCCUCACAGUUUGGGAGCAUGGCCAGACCUAAUUCUUUGCCUGCUGGAUUCUCACAGUUCGGGAGCAUGGCCAGACCUAAUUCUUUGCCUGCUGGAUCCUCACAGUUUGGGAGCAUGGCCAGACCUAAUUCUUUGACUGGUGGAUUCUCUCAGUUCGGGAGCUUGGCCAGUUCUAAUUACUUGCAAACUGGAUCCUCUCAGUUUGGGCGCAUGGCUGGACCUAAUUCUAUAGGUCCUGCUGAUUCCUCUCAGUUUGGGCGCAUGGCUGGACCUAAUUCUAGACCUCCUGCCGAAUCCUCUCAGUUUGGAAGCAUGGCCAGACCUAAUUCCAGACCUCCUG
rnacentral:lncRNA from 1 species